rnacentral:rRNA from 1 species
AUUGAACGCUGGCGGCAGGCCUAACACAUGCAAGUCGAACGAGUGGCGGACGGGUGAGUAAUUUCUGGGAAACUGCCCGAUGGAGGGGGAUAACUACUGGAAACGGUAGCUACUACCCCAUCCCCUCGGAUGUGCCCAGAUGGGCUUCGCUUGUAGGUGGGGUAACGGCUCACCUAGGCGACGAUGCCUAGCUGGUCUGAGAGGAUGACCAGCAACACUGGAACUGAGACACGGUCCAGACUCCUACGGGAGGCAGAAGUGGGGAAUAUUGCACAAGGGGCGCAAGCCGGAUGCAGCCAUGCCGCGUGUAUGAAGAAGGCCUUCGGGUUGUAAAGUACUUUCAGCGGGGAGGCGUUACCCGCAGAAGAAGCACCGGCUAACUCCGUGCCAGCAGCCGCGGUAAUAC